UUGGGGUUGCGGACAUAUCAUAACGAAGAGGUAUCGUAAUUGAAGAGGUUUGGAAAGACCCACCACAGAAGGUAAUAGUCCUGUAUGUUAAACGAGAAGACUUUAGAUAUGAUCCAGAGUACCACGGGACACGUGAAACCCUGUGGGAAGCAGGAGGGACCACCCUCCAAGGCUAAAUACUACCUAGUGACCGAUAGCGUAUAGUACCGUGAGGGAAAGGUGAAAAGAACCCCGGGAGGGGAGUGAAAUAGAACCUGAAACCCUGCACUUACAAGCUGUGGAAGCACAUUUCUUGUGUGACCGCGUACUUUUUGUAGAACGGGCCAACGAGUUACGUUAAGUAGCAAGGUUAAGCACUUAAGGUGCGGAGCCGUAGCGAAAGCGAGUUUUAACUGAGCGUUCAGUUACUUGACGUAGACCCGAAAACGGGCGACCUACCCAUGAGCAGGAUGAAGCGAAAGUAAAAUUUCGUGGAGGUCGAACCCACGAGCG
rnacentral:rRNA from 1 species